AUUGGCACAUCUGCGUUACUUUCUUUCUUCCUUAUCAUGUAUAACUCAAGUCCUGUUCUUAUCUCUUAUGGUAUGUCCACACAUUCAUCUAAACAUUCUCAUUUCUGUUAUCUGCAUCUUCUGAACAUGUGCGUUGUUGACUGGCCAACUCUCUAUUCCAUGCAACAAUGUAAGUCUAACCACCAUCGAAUAGAACUGACCUUUAUGGUGACACAUUCUUAUUAUAAAGAACCUUGAACCCGAGCUUCCAUUUUACUCACCACACUUCAAUACAUUAUAUGAUAUCAUCGCUAAUCUCUCGAUUAUUUGAAUUAUAGACUCAAUAUACUUAAUGCUGCCUCUGAUAUGACUUGUUUAAAGGUAUAUCUUCAAACUUUCAACCUAUCAUUAGAUCAAUAUUAUGUCCGUUUCGUUCUUCUUCUGUACUGUCGCUUACCCGAUGGGACCAACUUUCCCAAAUGCCCCCCACCGGCAUCUGCCGAUAAUUACCGUGUGAAGUGGUCAUUACGCACUGUCUUAUAAGUCAGUCAAUGAAAGUAUAACAAAGCAAUACAUUUUCUUUCUUCUUCUGACCAUUACUACUCCAAUCCAUAAUUAAUGUCAUUGAAAUUUUAAUACUUCAAAU
rnacentral:lncRNA from 1 species